GACGAACGCUGGCGGCGUGCCUAACACAUGCAAGUCGAGCGGAGUCGAUCGACGGAAGCCUUCGGGCGGAAGAUGGUUGACUUAGCGGCGGAUGGGUGAGUAACGCGUGGGCAACCUGCCUCGAAGACCGGGAUAACAGCCCGAAAGGGCUGCUAAUACCGGAUGUGGUCAAGGAUCCGCAUGGAUUUUUGAUUAAAGGGGAAACCCGUUUCGAGAUGGGCCCGCGUCCUAUCAGCUAGUUGGUGAGGUAAAAGCUCACCAAGGCGACGACGGGUAGCCGGCCUGAGAGGGUGACCGGCCACACUGGAACUGAGACACGGUCCAGACUCCUACGGGGGGCAGCAGUGGGGAAUCUUCCACAAUGGGCGAAAGCCUGAUGGAGCGACGCCGCGUGAGCGAAGAAGGCCUCGGUUGUAAGACUCUGUCUGAGGGACGAAGGAAGUGACGGUACCGUCCGGACGGAAGCCGACCGGCGUAACUACGUGCCAGCAGCCGCGGUAACGUAGUACGUCUAU
rnacentral:rRNA from 1 species